UUUUUUGAAUUUUUGAUUUAUAACACAUCUUUUUUCCAGUACAAAAUAUGAGAUACAAUAACAAAAGACUCGACAUUACUAUAAAAAACUAGAAGGUAAAAGAUGACAUAAAAGAAAAACAGACACAAAAUAUAAAAAUAAAUAAAAAAAUUUCUCCCUAAGCAACUCCUAAAUGACGAUCCUGACUGGAUAGUGUCGGGCGUCUGUCAUGCUCAAACUUUGGUAAGUGAACCCACACCUGUAUGAGAAAAUUAAAACCAAAUAAGUUAAAGACCUAGAACGCUAUGUGAGACAAUAAUCUUUCCUGUUGGACACAUGCACGACAUGAUUGUGACUAUUUUUCUAAAAUUAACCUAUGUGGCUAAAAGUGGCUAAAAAUGCAAGAUUUAGCUAAGUCCCCGCGAAGCCAAGAACCUAAGACUUACUAGGAAGAUCGGACCCUAUGUGAGUUGCCUACGUAUCCCGCCCUGAAAGACGAGAAUCAGAUAUGCGUAGUUCGGAAAGAUUGGAUACGGGCGAGAAAUAUAAAAAAAUAACUAAUUUAGAGAAAAUAUAUUUUUUGUCUUUUUUUUUUUUGCAAAAUGAUGAAACAUGUAAACUUCUUUUUUUUAGAUUUUCUUUUUCCCUUUUUUUUGGUUUUCGGAAAAUGAUGAAAAUGUGCAAUUUUUUUUUUGAAAUUUUCAUGUUUUUUUUGUCUUUUUCUUAACAAAAAUGUGACAGAAAACAUAACUGGGCCCUACUUGCUUUAUUUUCACAUUUCACUCAUUUUUUUUUUUCUUUUUUCAUUUGCCAUCAACUAUCAUUGGUCCGCCAAAUGACCCUUUUUACCCUUGAAGAUUGCAACAUGUAGCACAUAGAAUACAUCAGGAUGGUUUUUUAUUUUAUGGGUUCACCUGUCCCAGACGGACCCAACCCCUGUGUUGAGUCCCCAAAGUCAGAUGCACGUGAUGCAAAUAAGCAUUCUUACUAGGGAUCCGGCGUGAGGCUAUGUUAUUCUAGGUUUAAAACCUGGGUGUAUUGUUCUAGACCUGGCUUACUCGAGCGGACAACUCGAGCCGGGGGGGGGGGGGGGCAGCGUAUCGGUAACCAAAAGAUCAUCCGACUUUGCAACUUGUCUGAACCUCGUUCUAAAUUAGGAUAUGACACUAACAGAAAAGAAGUCACGCCAGCGUGCACUUCCCAGAAAAUUAGAAGAGAAAGUUUUCGCCACAGUUUAUAUACAGUUCAAAUAAUAUCAAAGCGGUAAAAAGCAACAUUUAGCACAUUAGGCCCAAACAUGUAAUAGAAAUCAGAUAAUAAAUAGAAGCCAAAUAUAACAAUUAUUCUAAGCUCGAAUUCUUGAACCCUGAACCAGAGAUUCUGGGUUCGAUCCCCAACAGAGUAGCCAGAGCUGUCACACCUCCUUUUUCACCCCGAGAGGGGUAUAAGAGAGUUUUUUCCAAUUUAAGUGACAAUCAAAACAGGAAUAUUUAUAUUAAAAUUUAGAGUUGCCACUUGGGAUAACUUAUGGUGUCCCAAGUCACCGGUUUAAAAUCCAGAAUCGAGGAAAUUUGACUCAUAUUUAUGGUCUGCGAACACAUAAAUCCGGGUAAGGAAUUCUGUUAAUCCGGGAGAAGGUGUUAGGCAUUCCCAAGUUCUGUGGUUCUAGCACGGUCGCUCAACUAUUAUAUUGGCCUAAUUAUCUGAUUAAUUACACAUUUUAAACCUACGUGCCCUUUUAACUUUUUAGCCGUUUUUAAUAUUUCAGGAAAAUUCAAGGUUAUUUAAAACACAUCGUAAGCUACGCUACAUGAAAUGCACCUGCGAUUCACGACACAUUCUAUUUAAUCUUGUUGGAAAUUAGAAUCGGAUCACAUGAAAUGUACACCCGGAUUGAGAUUUACGUAUCGAGACUAUAAACCAUAGCAAAAUGAACAGCCCUCUUGUGAGUGAAUCAACAAAUUGUACUAGUCAAGAAAACAUUAGAUGAAGCCCAAUGAUGAUUGGUUCCAGAAGUAAUUGUAUUUGAAUAAUUGCAGAAAACACAAAAUCACAUCUCGAAGUCCCACCGCAAACCUUAUGGCCCAUAUAUUUCUUACACAUAUACAAAAUCCUCAACCCAAUUAAAAUGACCAAUUCAACCAAGACAAUUUUCUGCUAGUCCACUAUUUCCUAUCAUUAAUCUAAUAUUUUUAGCUAAUAACAAAAAAAUCAAAUGCAUUCAUCAUAUCAUGAACUAAUUUCUCACAUUGAAGCAUGGAAACACAAGGGACAAAUAAGUAUAUAAUUUAAGAUACCCAUUUUAACAUGCUAGUGAACGACCAAACAUCCUCUAAUUCAAAUAAAAAAACAGAAAUAAACUUUUAAGCAAACCCACUUUAAGACAUGGAAUCAAAAUUUGCAUAGGUACAAAUACCUAAUGAAAUAAUCAUUCAACCACAAUUAGAAUCAAGCUAGGAAGACAUGGUUGCACAGAACGAACCUUUAUUAUUGCCGAAUUUGAAAUUUUAGAACUUUGCAAUUUAACAAAUGGACGAAACACCACUGACAACGACCGGAAAUCAGUGACGGCGACUUUGACCUCAACAGACCGAAAAUGAAAAUGUCACUGCGCCUUUCAACCUCGAACGUCGAACAACAGUCAGAUCAUAUCCAUCUCAGUUUCUGCUCAAAGUUUCUACCGGAUUUUCGGCCAGUUAUGGUAGUUGUUGCUGCUGGUUUCCAGCGAGUUCUCAUGUGAGGUGAUGGAGUUAAGAUCGUGGUCUGGUGGAGGACGACAAUGAACAGAAGCAUUUGGUGAAUAUAAAUGAGAGGGGUCACGGCUGAAGGUUGCUAUGGAGACUAGGGUUCUUUGUUCUUAGCGUUAGGUCUCAUAUGUUCAAGGUUGAAGAUGAAAGAAACAUGUCCAUGGGGAUUCGGCGACUGAUUUGUUCUGUGUAUAGGUCUCCUGGAAUGGAUGUUGCCGUUUUCUUUAAGAAGAAGAAGAAGAAGCAUCUCCUUUAUGCUGAAAAUUGGAGGAGACGAAUCAAAGGGAUGGGGGUCGUUUUGUGAUUUGCGGCUGACUUAAUGAAGAAGAAGCAGCAGCAGCUCCCAGUUCUUUUUGGUGUUAGAUCUUAGAGCCUCAUGAAGAAGAAGCUCAUGGAGGUCUCAUUUUCAUUCUCAGCCGCUGCUUUUUUCUUAGGUCUUUUUUUAGAAGAUGAUCAAAUUGUGUGUGUGGGGAGGGGUCGUGUAUAUGGUAAAAACGGCGUUGUUGUAUAUUAGGUCCUAGGGUCU
rnacentral:lncRNA from 1 species